UUCUUGGUCAUUUAGAGGAAGUAAAAGUCGUAACAAGGUUUCCGUAGGUGAACCUGCGGAAGGAUCAUUAAAGAAAUUUAAUAAUUUUGAAAAUGGAUUUUUUUGUUUUGGCAAGAGCAUGAGAGCUUUUACUGGGCAAGAAGACAAGAGAUGGAGAGUCCAGCCGGACCUGCGCUUAAGUGCGCGGUCUUGCUAGGCUUGUAAGUUUCUUUCUUGCUAUUCCAAACGGUGAGAGAUUUCUGUGCUUUUGUUAUAGGACAAUUAAAACCGUUUCAAUACAACACACUGUGGAGUUUUCAUAUCUUUGCAACUUUUUCUUGGGGCAUUCGAGCAAUCGGGGCCCAGAGGUAACAAACACAAACAAUUUUAUCUAUUCAUUAAAUUUUUGUCAAAAACAAGAAUUUUCGUAACUGGAAAUUUUAAAAUAUUAAAAACUUUCAACAACGGAUCUCUUGGUUCUCGCAUCGAUGAAGAACGCAGCGAAAUGCGAUACGUAAUGUGAAUUGCAGAAUUCCGUGAAUCAUCGAAUCUUUGAACGCACAUUGCGCCCCUUGGUAUUCCAGGGGGCAUGCCUGUUUGAGCGUCAUUUCCUUCUCAAACAUUCUGUUUGGUAGUGAGUGAUACUCUUUGGAGUUAACUUGAAAUUGCUGGCCUUUUCAUUGGAUGUUUUUUUUCCAAAGAGAGGUUUCUCUGCGUGCUUGAGGUAUAAUGCAAGUACGGUCGUUUUAGGUUUUACCAACUGCGGCUAAUCUUUUUUUAUACUGAGCGUAUUGGAACGUUAUCGAUAAGAAGAGAGCGUCUAGGCGAACAAUGUUCUUAAAGUUUGACCUCAAAUCAGGUAGGAGUACCCGCUGAACUUAAGCAUAUCAAUAAGCGGAGGAA
rnacentral:rRNA from 1 species